rnacentral:rRNA from 1 species
AGUCGAACGGCAGCACGGACUUCGGUCUGGUGGCGAGUGGCGAACGGGUGAGUAAUAUAUCGGAACAUACCCAGUAGUGGGGGAUAACUAUCCGAAAGGAUAGCUAAUACCGCAUACGAUCUGUGGAUGAAAGCAGGGGAUCUUCGGACCUUGUGCUAUUGGAAUGGCCGAUAUCUGAUUAGCUAGUUGGUAGGGUAAAAGCCUACCAAGGCGACGAUCAGUAGCUGGUCUGAGAGGACGACCAGCCACACUGGAACUGAGACACGGUCCAGACUCCUACGGGAGGCAGCAGUGGGGAAUUUUGGACAAUGGGGGCAACCCUGAUCCAGCAAUGCCGCGUGAGUGAAGAAGGCCCUCGGGUUGUAAAGCUCUUUUGUCAGGGAAGAAACGGAGUUCUCUAAUAUAGGAUUCUAAUGACGGUACCUGAAGAAUAAGCACCGGCUAACUACGUGCCAGCAGCCGCGGUAAUACGUAGGGUGCAAGCGUUAAUCGGAAUUACUGGGCGUAAAGCGUGCGCAGGCGGUUUUGUAAGUCUGAUGUGAAAUCCCCGGGCUCAACCUGGGAACUGCAUUGGAGACUGCAAGGCUAGAGUGUGUCAGAGGGGGGUAGAAUUCCACGUGUAGCAGUGAAAUGCGUAGAGAUGUGGAGGAAUACCGAUGGCGAAGGCA